AAAGAAUUAGUUAAACAUAAUAACAUCAGUAUGUCAAACUGGAGAUAUUAGUAUAUUCUAAUAUUCUUUA
rnacentral:tRNA from 1 species